ensembl:lncRNA
CUCUAGGAGAUGGAUCCAAAAAAAAUUUGCUGUUAUUUAUGUCAAAGAGUAUUCUGCUUAUGUUUUCCUCUGGGAAUUUUAUAAUAUCUGGUCUUACAUUUAGGUCAUUAGUCUAUUUCAGUUUAUUUUUGUAUAUGGUAUUAGAGAAUGUUAGUAAAAAAUGUAUUUUUUACUUUAGCUGUCCGGUUUUCCCAGCGCCAUUUAUUGAAGAGACUGUCUUUCCUUAGUGUGUAUUCUUGCCUCCUUUAUCAUAGACUAAUUGACCAGAAGUGUGUGCUUUCAUUUCUGGGCUUUCUAACGUGUUCCAUUGAUCUAUAUUUCUAACAUGUCCCAUUGAUCUGAACUUUGUCUAUAAUAGAUAAAAAUAGGAAACAAUCCAUACGUCCUUGAGUGAGUGAACGGUUGAACUCUGAUACAUCCCUACCAUGGAAUACUCCUCAGCAAUGACAAGGAAGAAACUAUUGAUUCGGGCAACAGCUUGUAUGGAUCUCAGAGGCAUUUCACUGAGCGAAAAGAAGAAAGAACUAUUGAAGUCCUAACCAGCUGUGCUUCAGAAGGAGACCUGGAAUAGAAAUAGAGUCAUUGUAGAUGUAAUUAGUUAAGGCCACACAGGACUUGUUUGGGCCUGGUCCAGUAUGACUGGCGUCCUUGCACAAAGAUGGGCAGGUGAAGAUGCAAAGGGCGAACACCGUGGAAAAUGCAGGCAGAAAAUGGCCUAUUAAUGCUGCCACAAGCCAAGGAAUAUCUGUAUCCACCAGAAGCUGAAAAAGGUUCUCAGAAUUUUCCCACCAGCAGGCUGCUCCUGGUCGGAAGGGGAUUCCCUGAGUGAGGGACCAGCCUACCGUGUCUGGGAAGUGAUGCUCAGGGAGCGCAGGAUCUGCUAGACACCCUGGUGCAAAACUCUCAGGGCUUGUGAAAGCAGCUUUCCAAGGGCAAUGCCAGAGAGCCAGGGGGUGCUCAGUGGGCACAAUGGCCUGACCUUGGAGCUGGUUCUCCCGGAUGGGCCCUUGGAGUGAGCAAAAGCCCCCAGCUUUCCACUGACCCAGUUGCAGGAGAGGCUAGCUGGUGAGUGGAGGUGGGUAGCGUCAUGCAUGGAGCCCCCUCCCUUUUGACCAGUGUCACUGGUGGGAAUUGUUUGCUGGGCGGUUAAGAAGACAGGAUUGUGUGCACGCCUUUGGGCUCCAGGAGACAGGUCACCCUUUCUCUUUGGACCCUUGCCUGGAUCUCUCAGCCUAGAGCCAAAACUCAGUGACUGGGAGGAAAAUGCAGAGACACUGAAUGGGCCACACCCUCCCACAACCCCCAGAAGCCAGGUGUGAAUGUGCCUGGG